rnacentral:rRNA from 1 species
GCAAGUCGAACGGUAACAUGAUCUAGCUUGCUAGACUGAUGACGAGUGGCGAACGGGUGAGGAACGCGUAGGAAUAUACCUUUUAGUGGGGGACAAAUAGGGGAAACUCGAGCUAAUACCGCAUAAGCUCUAUUGCGGAAAGAUGGGGACCUUCGGGCCUGGCGCUAGAAGAUUAGCCUGCGUACGAUUAGCUAGUUGGGGGGGUAAAGGCCCACCAAGGCGACGAUCGUUAGCUGGUCUGAGAGGAUGAUC